AAUAAUUCCCGGUUGCCAUUUUCUGACAUUUGAAAAGAUCUGAAGAUACGCCCCUUGGAUGCCUGCAGAGAAGCUCUGGGGCUUCAGUCAAUGACUCAGGGUAGCCACCGAACAUGAUGCUCGGGCAGUGGGUGCCACCUGGACUCCACUCUCCCCUCUCUCUGGGAUCAUAGAGUCCAAGGUGUUCUGUGGCCUCUCGGCCAAUCCCAGCAGCUCAGCGUGCAGAAGACCGAGGAGCCAUUGGAAUUCAACACAACACGAAAUAAUCAACAAAUUCGGGGAAUGUUAAUCUGACCAUCACCAGUUACAAAUGAUGUUUCAUGCUACCUUCUAUUCCUGCCUUCAUAAAUCAAGCUCUAAAUCUCCAGGAAAAAAUGUGCUCAGGAUGGCCAGAGAAAUGUCCUUCCAACUGUGCAUGGAAAGGUAUGAUUUUGUGCAGCAGGUGAAGGACUGGUUAGAGUAAGUGUGUGCUGAGCUUUUGUGUUUGAAAGCGAGCCUGUGCACUUCUAACGAUUGGAAGGUUUCCUUGCCUUCUCCGAUCUUACACACAGCAAGGACAGCAAAGCCUUCCAGACCUGCCUGUGACAUGCACUGCACAUUCUAAAGAUGCCUAUGCAAUGGAAAACACCACUGUCUGCUCCAGCACAGCUGCCAUUCUUCCAUCUUAUCGACCUUAAUGCAACAACUCCUCACAGGCAGAGAUUUUAAAAUGUGUUCUUGGCAGAAGAGAGACUCAAAGAUGGGACAAAUGUGUCAUUUAAAUGCCUGUUAAAAUGGAAACAGACAUAGUAUAGUCAGAGGAUUGUGGCAGCUAAGAACAUAGUCUCUGGAGCAAAUCUGCAUGGGUGGCAAUGCCAAGCACAUGAGGUCCUAGUUGUAUGAACUUAGGAAAAGAAAAAGAGAACAUAUAUCCCCCUACCUUUUGAUUUCCAACAGUCUACUGAGAGGCCAAGAUUAUUUGCAGGGAAAGAAAAGGGGAAUGCCAUCCCCACCCUCUCGCAGCUACGUGCCAGUUCCAGAGCACC
rnacentral:lncRNA from 10 species